GAAAUCGUGUAAGUGGAUUUGCACGAAGAAAGUUCUUUUUCCAUACUGGAGAGCAGAACCUACCAGGAAAAAAAAUAUGCAAGUAAAAUGAAAAGAGGAGCAGAUUAGAUUUCUAA